rnacentral:rRNA from 1 species
UACGAAGGGGGCUAGCGUUGCUCGGAAUCACUGGGCGUAAAGCGCACGUAGGCGGCCUCUUAAGUCGGUGGUGAAAUCCUGGAGCUCAACUCCAGAACUGCCUUCGAUACUGAGAGUCUCGAGUCCGGGAGAGGUGAGUGGAACUGCGAGUGUAGAGGUGAAAUUCGUAGAUAUUCGCAAGAACACCAGUGGCGAAGGCGGCUCACUGGCCCGGUACUGACGCUGAGGAGCGAAAGCCAGGGGAGCAAACGGG